UUCGGAUUGUAGUCUGCAACCCGACUACAUGAAGCCGGAAUCGCUAGUAAUCGCGGAUCAGAAUGCCGCGGUGAAUACGUUCCCGGGUCUUGUACACACCGCCCGUCACACCAUGGGAGUUGGAAAUGCCCGAAGUCAGUGGCCCAACCGGAAGGGGGGAGCUGCCGAAGGCAGGUUCGAUGACUGGGGUGAAGUCGUAACAAGGUAAC
rnacentral:rRNA from 1 species